rnacentral:rRNA from 1 species
UACGUAGGGUCCGAGCGUUGUCCGGAUUUAUUGGGCGUAAAGAGCUCGUAGGCGGCUUGCUAAGUCAGGUGUGAAACCUCCAGGCUCAACCUGGAGCCGCCACCUGAUACUGGUAUGGCUAGAGUCCGGUAGGGGACCACGGAAUUCCUGGUGUAGCGGUGAAAUGCGCAGAUAUCAGGAGGAACACCUGCGGCGAAGGCGGGUUGCUGGGCUGACACUGACGCUGAGGCGCGAAAGCUAGGGGAGCGAACGGG